rnacentral:ncRNA from 1 species
AACGUAACGUUGAAGAGGAAUAGUAAUGGAACUGUCCUGUCCCAGAGAGAAGACUUAUCUGGUGCGAAGUCUUUACAGAGAUGUCCGUGAACCUGCCUUGGAGUUCUAUGUGAAAGUUAUAAUAUAAACGUGUUAUGACGUAAGCAUAGCGUUUCCCGCGUUAAGGGAUAGUUGAGAGAAAUCUGUUUUUCUUUUUCUAAAAGCAGAUUUAAAUAGGGUGGUACCGCCGAAGAUGAAUUUAUAACCUUUGGUCCCUGUU